rnacentral:rRNA from 1 species
GACGAAGGGGGCUAGCGUUGUUCGGAAUUACUGGGCGUAAAGCGUGCGUAGACGGUUACAUAAGUCGGGUGUGAAAGCCCCGGGCUCAACCUGGGAAUUGCAUUCGAGACUGCGUAGCUAGGGUGCGGAAGAGGGAAGCGGAAUUUCCGGUGUAGCGGUGAAAUGCGUAGAUAUCGGAAGGAACACCAGUGGCGAAAGCGGCUUCCUGGUCCAGCACCGACGUUCAGGCACGAAAGCGUGGGGAGCAAACAGG